UACGUAGGGUGCGAGCGUUAAUCGGUAUUACUGGGCGUAAAGCGUGCGCAGGCGGUUUUGUAAGCCAGAUGUGAAAGCCCCGGGCUUAACCUGGGAAUGGCAUUUGGGACUGCAAGGCUUGAGUGCGGCAGAGGAGACUGGAAUUCCUGGUGUAGCAGUGAAAUGCGUAGAUAUCAGGAGGAAUACCGAUGGCGAAGGCAGGUCUCUGGGCUGACACUGACGCUCAUGCACGAAAGCGUGGGGAGCAAACAGG
rnacentral:rRNA from 1 species